UUUAACACCAAGUCGUCAAUUUCUUCGCUAUAUUGGGUGAACAUCAAUCGACUUGUGUUAAAACGGUAUAUCCUUCUCAAAAAAAAAUCAAAAAGAUUGAAAAUUCUUGUCUUUUCAAACGGAUCACGAUUAAAUCCUAUAUUGAACUCGUAUCUUUAAAAAUCAAGACAACACGUGUUUAUAAGAUACCAAUUUUGGGCGUCGCGAGGGUGCUAAUACCUUCCUCGCGCGUAACCGACUCCCGAACCCUAAAUUUUCUCUGGAUUUUAAUGUAGACCUAAACUCAGCCUUUUAUUUGUUUUAAUAAGAGAUCUAAUAGGUGUCCGAUCACACUUAGGAAAAAGGAUCGG
rnacentral:lncRNA from 1 species